UAGGGCAGAGAUGGUGGAGGAAACUGGGAUGACCAGGCGAAAAGACAGGCUAACAGCAAAAAAAAACAGGAGUCGGAGGAACAGGACGGACAGGUGAAGAAGCAAGCUAACCAGAGCUAUUUGCAUCUGACUGAGAGGCCAUUAGAAUAAUAAUUAGCUUGACCCACCAGAGAGGGAAGGCCUUCAUCAACACUACACCAACCACCAGCCCAAAGGCAGGUUGAAGAUUGUCUCCCCCCUGAGGGCCUCUCUCUCCCUGCAGCAUGUGGGAACCAUGGCGCGUUGCCAGGAUACAAGCCCCUCGUCUGUACUGACAAGAAGACAUGAAGAGCAAAGAUUAAUUAUUUACAAGCAGACCCCUGUACACCACGUCUGGCUUGGCACUUCUCCUGCAUUAAAUGUCACUAUCUAU